rnacentral:lncRNA from 1 species
UGGAUCGAAGCAACAUUCGUAUACCUCUGAAGAUGCAGUAGGAUAGAAUGAGGCUACGUGAAGAAGAAGAGCACCAAGGUCCAGCACGACCAGGCAGAAUUGGCCCUUUUAAGUCUUUACUCCGUUCCUGUUACACAACAACGAGCAAAGAGGGGCAGUUGUAAUACCCAAUUUGCCCGGCCCAAUAAAAAAAAAAUAUUAAAAAUCCAUAAGUCCAUUUACACUGCCCAAUUACAACAAAAACUAAACCCAAUUAUAAUGGCCCAAAU